rnacentral:snRNA from 1 species
UAACUCUGGUGUCUCCUCAUUUGCGGAUAAAUCUCUCGCCUUUUACUAAAGAUUUUCGUGGUAGGCAUUAUACAAUGAGUCUUGCCUCAUUUUUUUCAGCUCUGCCUUCGGACGGAGU